rnacentral:rRNA from 1 species
GGGGAACCUCGCCCCAUAGUCUGGGAUACCACUUGGAAACAGGUGCUAAUACCGGAUAAGAAAGCGGAUCGCAUGAUCAGCUUUUAAAAGGCGGCGUAAGCUGUCGCUAUGGGAUGGCCCCGCGGUGCAUUAGCUAGUUGGUAAGGUAAGGCUUACCAAGGCGAUGAUGCAUAGCCGAGUUGAGAGACUGAUCGGCCACAUUGGGACUGAGACACGGCCCAAACUCCUACGGGAGGCAGCAGCG